UACAGAGGUCCCAAGCGUUGUUCGGAUUCACUGGGCGUAAAGGGCGCGUAGGCGGCGACCCAAGUCAGAUGUGAAAGUCCUGGGCUUAACCUGGGGACUGCAUUUGAUACUGGGUUGCUUGAAUUCGGGAGAGGAUAGCGGAAUUCCCAGUGUAGAGGCGAAAUUCGUAGAUAUUGGGAAGAACACCGGUGGCGAAGGCGGCUAUCUGGACCGACAUUGACGCUGAGGCGCGAAAGCGUGGGGAGCAAACAGG
rnacentral:rRNA from 1 species